rnacentral:rRNA from 1 species
GGCGAACCGUACGAACGUUAUUCGGAAUCACUGGGCUUAAAGGGUGCGUAGGCGGCGCAGAAAGUUGGGUGUGAAAUCCCUCGGCUUAACCGAGGAAUUGCGCCCAAAACUACUGUGCUCGAGGGAGGUAGAGGUGAGCGGAACUUAGGGUGGAGCGGUGAAAUGCGUUGAUAUCCUAAGGAACACCGGUGGCGAAAGCGGCUCACUGGAUCUUUUCUGACGCUGAGGCACGAAAGCUAGGGUAGCGAACGGG